UCUCCAAAAAGAAAGUGUCUUCCUUUCAUCCUUAAAACUCUGCGAGCUGCAACCUACGCCUUGGCUGUCACAGGAGUAGCAGCAGUAGAACCACCACCUAAAAUACUUUCUUCAAAGCAUUUCAAAGUGCUUCAUACAACUCAUCAUUGGGUAGCAACACUGGACUGGUGUAUGAAACAUCACCACCAAAACAUUUGUAACUAAGCCAUAGUUUGGGAAUCAAUCAAAGUAGCCUGCUAUAAAGGCUUCCCAUUGUGAAUAUCAUUGCUAGUAAGUAAUCGACUCAACCAGAAGAACUUUGGGAGCAUCUGGUUCCUGCAUGAAGGGAUUCCAAUCAAUUAUGAGAUAGAAAUUGUGCCAAAUUUGAAAACACUGAUAACAACUGAACAAGCAAAGUCAAAUACAAAAUUAACUAAUUGGUGAUUUAUCAUCACAACGAGUGUUUGCUAAUCAGUCCACGUGUAGCUGUCCAAGUUUUUCUCCGAAUAGUGUAAAAUUGUGACGAAGCAAAUGGACACAUAAUCAGUACAUGUAAAAGCUAAAAGAAGCAAAAGAUAUUCAUAAACACAGUGCUAGAUGAACUAAAAGGACCUUAAAUACAACUACAAAGAAACAUCAUGGCAAGUGCAGUUUGCCGUUGGAAAAUCUUUUAGAUGCAUGAUGCUUCGGCAGAUGAAAAGCAUAUAUGACGCAUUACUGUCAACUCAAUCAUUCUGCUCUAGUUAAAAGUAUAAUGGUCACAUAUAUCUACUUUCUGAUAAUCACAAAUGUGCAAAUUUGGAGUAAAAUCAAAAUAGAACUACUCCCUCCGUUCCAAAAUAGAUGACCCAACUUUAUACUAACUUUGUACUAAAGUUUGUAUAAAGUUGGGUCAUCUAUUUUGGAACGGAUGGAGUAUAUGGAAAUGGCUGUAUUUUAGGAGUUCAUGUAUGGAAAUAGCGUAGAAAAUAUAAGCAAAGAUAAAUAUACACCUUCCUUGUCUCCCGAACCUGCAUAGUUCACACAAUAGCCCAUUAACUUUGGUAUGUUAAACCAUCAUGUUGCACGUCUAUGGCAUGGAGUAAAAUCUUGUACCUGCAAGAAUGGUCCACUCGUUAUCAAGAUUAUGCGUUUAUUUCAUGCUUUUAUAAUAGAAUUACCUGGGAAGCGGCUUAGGAGUGGAACACAUGGGGCAUCUAUAUAAAUCAUUUUCCUUUCUUAACUUCUUCCAACCUUUUUUGCAGCUAAUAUACCACAAGUCUUCACCUGAGACCACUUCAGUGGCCUAGAGUCAAGAACUAUCACCCAACUCGGUAACUGUUCAUGGACUAAAACAAAAUACACUAUAUGCAUAAGUCCGGUUCCUUAUUUCAGCACUAAUCAAACAGAAGAACAUCUACUGAACUUCCUACUAUCCAUACAUGAAUAUAGCUACUUCUUGCGAAACAAAAAUGAAUCAACGGACUGCUCUAUAUUUGGGAAGCAACCAAAUCUAAAAAGUAUCUAUGAACAGAUCACAAACACAUAGUUUCAGUAUUGAAACAAGUACCAGAAGAACUCUAGUUCUCUAGAUUGAGGUAUACUUGGAGGUGCAUCUGAAACUCGCCGGCUUACAGUGUAGCUCAAGGCAAAUCGAAAUGUACACGUGUUGUUUUUAUAGCACUCAGAAUCAGACAAGAUAAUCUCAUACUACACGCAGACUGCUGUAUUACUCACUCUCCGACCAACAUCUCCAGGAAAUCUCAGUGUAUUUGAGAAACCACUCUCUUCUUUCAAACUGGACAUAGAGAAACAGGACUGCUUCCUUUCUAAAUCUUAGACCAUUCCUAAUCAAAAUCGUAAAUAAUUUCCUAACCAAAUCCCUAAAGCAUGAAUCUACCAUUGAAUUCAGCCUACACAAGCCCCACACACGCGCGCGCACAGAGAGAGAGAGAUGGGAGGUGCAGAGAAGGCUGUGGAGGAUGGAGUUGAUCUCACCUGAGAGGACCGGCAGCCAGCUCAAAGGUCCACUUCUCGCCGCCAUCCCGGCGUUCCCAUCACAACCCUCACCCUGUUGCCGUGCGCGACGAAGAGGGAUGCAGAUUGAGGAGGCGGAGCUCAGUCGGCGGCUGCAUGUGAUGAAGGGGACGGAGGCAGCAGCGCUCGGACCACCACCGAUGCAGCCCUCUUCUGCCACUUUGCGCGUGUGUCUCUCCCGCUUCAGAUCUGGACCUUAGGGAGGAAGAAUAGACGGCGUGGUGGCGCGGGGAGAGAAGNN
rnacentral:lncRNA from 1 species